GCCUGGGUGGCUCAGUCGGUUGAGCGUCCGACUUCAGCUCAGGUCAUGAUCUCGCGGUCUGUGAGUUCGAGCCCCGCGUCAGGCU
rnacentral:tRNA from 1 species